CGAUGCUUCAUUCAAAUAUCUGCCCUAUCAACUUUCGAUGGUAGGAUAGAGGCUACAUGGUUUCAACGGGUAACGGGGAAUAAGGGUUCGAUUCCGGAGAAGGGAGCUGAGAAACGGUACCACAUCCAAGGAAGGCAGCAGGCGCGCAAAUUUACCCAAUCCCGAUACGGGGAGGUAGUGACAAUAAAUAACAAUAUAGGGCUCUUUCGGGUCUUAUAAUUGGAAUGAGUGCAAUUUAAAUCCCUUAACGAGGAACAAUUGGAGGGCAAGUCUGGUGCCAGCAGCCGGGUAAUUCCAGCUCCAAUAGCGUAUAUUAAAGUUGUUGCAGUUAAAAAGCUCGUAGUUGAAAUUCAGACCUGGUCGGGGUGGUCCGCCUAACGGUGUGCAACUGUCCGACUGGGUCUUACCUCUUGGUGAACCGGAGUGGCCCUUUAUUUGGAUGCUCAGGGGAAACCAGGAUCUUUACCUUGAGAAAAUUAGAGUGUUCAAAGCAGGCCUAUGCCUGGAAUACAUUAGCAUGGAAUAAUAAAAUAGGACGUACAGUUCUAUUGGUGGUUUUUAGAGCUGUCGUAAUGAUUAAUAGGGAUAGUUAGGGGGCAUUGGUAUCCAGUCGCUAAGAGGUGAA
rnacentral:rRNA from 1 species